AACAAAUACUAGUCGCACACAAUAGUACUCACACUGUACAUGUACUGGUUAGAGUUUGCUGAUGGGGAAGGCUGGGAGAGAACAGCUGACUGGCUCACAUUGGACGCUGGCUGAUGACGUACUUUAGCCAGUAUAAAGCAGUCUGCUGGAUGAUAUAGUCUGCACACUUCUGACAAGCAAGAUGAAGCUCCUCGUGAUCCUCUUCUCCCUCACCGCCCUCACAUGGGCCCAGGAUCAACCACACUGCAGGUGCGGCGGCUUUAUCACCGAGUCUGAAGAAGAGGUAGAAGUGUUCAACCUCCCUACCUUCCAAGUGGAGAACUGUGAAGCAGAACAGGGAUGUCGAGAACUAUGCCGCAUGAUUGUGAGACCCAUUACUCUUGCAUACAUAUUUGUUUACCAGCAUAAUAUUAGGUUUUAUGAAAGUUUAUAAAGAUUGUAGUUGAUGAAAUUACCACAGAAAAUAUUUAGCAUUGGCAAUUAAAAUUUUAAAAUAUAAUAAAUCUUUCUGCUUUAUAUUAUUUCUAUUUGUAUCCUCUGAAUAACAAAAAUUCUACAGUGGGUCAGGAAUACCAACGACGGAAGCCUGGAUAACGAGACAGGUGACGGCCAGACGGUAGGCCAGACGAGCUGCGAUACUUGUAACCUGCUAGGGGCGACGAAGACUUUGGUCCAAAAGAAGUUGUCUUGUAUUCGAAGCUUUGUGAUGGCCCUUGGGAGAUGGGAGAAGAAUCCAGCAACGAGGAGCUGUGCUGUAAGGGGGGUCAAUACGUGACCUGCAUGUAAAGGCCAAUACCGUUGGUGGCUCCUGAAACAUUCACAACUUUAGCAAUGUAAUAAAAAAUCUACUUCGACAAAAAUGAGUCUACUGUCAAAACAAUUGAGUGAAUGUACUCUACCGAUCAGAACUGUUAACACCAACAAUUUAUAUAUUAACUCAACAAUAUUAGUGUUAUAGUACUAAAACAUAUUAAACAGUGCCGUAGUUAUUAUGUUUAAAACGUUAUUCGUAAAGUUGAAGUUAUUAAGAUACUUGAUCCAACUACUAAUGAGGUUUCACCGGAGUCACUAGCACCAACAACACUUUCACACACGCUAUAGCAAGGAAUAAUUUUUGUACUGAUAAAGUAUCAAUAAAAUCAAAUAUAUUUC